rnacentral:lncRNA from 1 species
CUGGGACAAAAUCAACUACAGCUCAUGCGGAACCAAUUGAAAUAAUGAGAUGCAAGACAGAAAAUGAGCAUCUUCAAUAAUCCUCUAUCUUUGUCAUCCGGUUAUUACAUUACUCUGUCUCAUUCGAUACGAAAAAUCAUGGUAUUAAGAGCUAAUGCAGUAGCAACGAAGAGGAGCUCCAGGACUAGGCGCCUUACAAACUCCGCCCUGCGGAAACUGGAUGCUCUUGCAAUGGGCAUCACAAUCAGGAAUGUUAGAACAUGGCCCCUGAUCAAUCAACCGAAUAGCACCUACUCGUUCUGUACCAAAAAAAAAAACAAUAAAAUUACUCAUUUUGGAAGUCUGCAACAGUGUGCAUAUGUUGCAUGUUAUGUUAUGUUUAACACAAAAGCAAACCUGUAUUGAUAGUCAAAGCAAUGAAAAAGAAGGCAAUGAAUAAGCUUCUAAUAACAGAAGAGAUGUUCUUGCCAGCCAUUUUAUAUAUCUUGUUUUUGCCUAGGAUGAUCUUUCUACCCUGAUGCUUGUAGUUUCU